GAUGAACGCUGGCGGCGUGCUUAACACAUGCAAGUCGAACGGUGAACACGGAGCUUGCUCUGUGGGAUGAGUGGCGAACGGGUGAGUAACACGUGAGCAACCUGCCCCUGACUCUGGGAUAAGCGCUGGAAACGGCGGCUAAUACUGGAUAUGUGACGUGACCGCAUGGUCUGCGUUUGGAAAGAUUUUUCGGUUGGGGAUGGGCUCGCGGCCUAUCAGCUUGUUGGUGGGGUAGUGGCUUACCAAGGCGUCGACGGGUAGCCGGCCUGAGAGGGUGACCGGCCACACUGGGACUGAGACACGGCCCAGACUCCUACGGGAGGCAGCAGUGGGGAAUAUUGCACAAUGGGCGCAAGCCUGAUGCAGCAACGCCGCGUGAGGGAUGACGGCCUUCGGGUUGUAAACCUCUUUUAGCAGGGAAGAAGCGAAAGUGACGGUACCUGCAGAAAAAGCGCCGGCUAACUACGUG
rnacentral:rRNA from 1 species